GUUCAAAAAUGCCACCUCGUAAGGAUGGGAAGAUAGAAAGAAAAUGGGGGUUGGGACUAACGUUUGACGUCUUCAGCCAAAUAAUGGACGAGCGAUUUCACAGAGAAAAGUGUUACAUGUCUCCAGAUGGGGCAGAAGGAAUUCAACAAGGCCCUUCAACAUGAAAGUCGAGCUUGACAUCUGUCAAAGGCACUCCUUUACAAAUAGAUACACCGUCCACAGCCUUGACACAAACUCAACUGUGGGAUAGAAAAGGCCACCACAGUCUGUAAAAAACAAUAGAGGGUUUUUUCUUCUGCACGGCCACCUACUUCAUCUGAUUGCCAACUUGAUAAAUCUUCCCAGUCAUUGUGAGAGUUAUAUCGUCUUGUGAUUGAGGGACGGAUUUGCCUUUCCCUUGGACGACCUUGCUUUGCAGUUACUUCACUCGGCGGAAUGGUUGUAGCUUCCAUUUCACUUGGCGGUAUGGUUUUAGCUUCCAUUUCACUCGGCGGUAUGGUUGUAGCUUCCAUUUCACUCGGCGAAAUGGUUGAUAACAAAACCAUCGAAUUGUAAAUUGGCUGAUCCUGAUUGUCCAUGCCUGAAUUGUCUAAGCAAUCGACAUUCUUUAAUUCAUCUUCCGAAAAGUUUAUUCUCACAUUUAAGGCGCAUCGAGGAAUUACCGUGCAUCUAAUAGCUUCUAACACCGUUCCCUGAUUCCAUUCUCAACCCCUAAUAACAGUUCCCUGCCUUUUUUAUUUCCGUUUAACGGUUUAAGUCGUGAACACACGCUGAAACAGGAUUUCUGUACAUUCGACAGGUUCGAAAAUAGAACGAAUGAUAUUUAUUUGAUUGUUAUGCAUGU